CCCAAUUGAUUGAUGGUGCUUGCACCUGAUUGAUUUUGGUUGCCAACGAGUGGCGGACGGGUGAGUAACACGUAGGUAACCUGCCCAGAAGCGGGGGACAACAUUUGGAAACAGAUGCUAAUACCGCAUAACAGCGUUGUUCGCAUGAACAGCGCUUAAAAGAUGGCUUCUCGCUAUCACUUCUGGAUGGACCUGCGGUGCAUUAGCUUGUUGGUGGGGUAACGGCCUACCAAGGCGAUGAUGCAUAGCCGAGUUGAGAGACUGAUCGGCCACAAUGGGACUGAGACACGGCCCAUACUCCUACGGGAGGCAGCAGUAGGGAAUCUUCCACAAUGGGCGCAAGCCUGAUGGAGCAACACCGCGUGAGUGAAGAAGGGUUUCGGCUCGUAAAGCUCUGUUGUUAAAGAAGAACACGUAUGAGAGUAACUGUUCAUACGUUGACGGUAUUUAACCAGAAAGUCACGGCUAACUACGUGCCAGCAGCCGCGGUAAUACGUAGGUGGCAAGCGUUAUCCGGAUUUAUUGGGCGUAAAGAGAGUGCAGGCGGUUUUCUAAGUCUGAUGUGAAAGCCUUCGGCUUAACCGGAGAAGUGCAUCGGAAACUGGAUAACUUGAGUGCAGAAGAGGGUAGUGGAACUCCAUGUGUAGCGGUGGAAUGCGUAGAUAUAUGGAAGAACACCAGUGGCGAAGGCGGCUACCUGGUCUGCAACUGACGCUGAGACUCGAAAGCAUGGGUAGCGAACAGGAUUAGAUACCCUGGUAGUCCAUGCC
rnacentral:rRNA from 1 species